AUUCUUUUAGUAUCAAUCAGUACGGUUGACUUCCAAUCAACUAGUCUCGGCAUCAACCCGAGGAAGAAUA
rnacentral:tRNA from 1 species